rnacentral:hammerhead_ribozyme from 1 species
AUCCAGCUGACGAGUCCCAAGUAGACACGAAACGCGCGUCCUGGAU